rnacentral:misc_RNA from 1 species
UCCGGGUUUCGCCCGGCAGUCUCCCUAGAUUAUUCAACUAAGGACAGGGGUUGCGCUCGUUGCGGGACUUAACCCAACACCUCACGGCACGAGCUGACGACAACCAUGCAGCACCUUGUAAAGAGCCCCGAAGGGAAGGGAUAUUUCUACCCCAUGCACUCUACAUUUAAGCCCAGGUAAGGUUCCUCGCGUAUCAUCGAAUUAAACCACAUGUUCCUCCGCUUGUGCGGGCCCCCGUCAAUUCCUUUGAGUUUCAGCCUUGCGGCCGUACUCCCCAGGUGGAUCACUUAAUGCUUUUGCUUAGCCGCUGACUGUGUAUCGCCAACAGCGAGUGAUCAUCGUUUACGGCGUGGACUAC